rnacentral:rRNA from 1 species
AACGCUAGCUACAGGCUUAACACAUGCAAGUCGAGGGGAAACGAUAUUGGAAGCUUGCUUCCGAUGGGCGUCGACCGGCGCACGGGUGAGUAACGCGUAUCCAACCUGCCCAUCACUUGGGGAUAACCUUGCGAAAGUAAGUCUAAUACCCAAUGACGUCUCUAGAAGACAUCUGAAGGAGAUUAAAGAUUUAUCGGUGAUGGAUGGGGAUGCGUCUGAUUAGCUUGUUGGCGGGGUAACGGCCCACCAAGGCAACGAUCAGUAGGGGUUCUGAGAGGAAGGUCCCCCACAUUGGAACUGAGACACGGUCCAAACUCCUACGGGAGGCAGCAGUGAGGAAUAUUGGUCAAUGGACGAGAGUCUGGACCAGCCAAGUAGCGUGCAGGAUGACGGCCCUAUGGGUUGUAAACUGCUUUUAUAAGGGAAUAAAGUGAGUCUCGUGAGACUUUUUGCAUGUACCUUAUGAAUAAGGACCGGCUAAUUCCGUGCCAGCAGCCGCGGUAAUACGGAAGGUCCGGGCGUUAUCCGGAUUUAUUGGGUUUAAAGGGAGCGUAGGCCGGAGAUUAAGCGUGUUGUGAAAUAUAGACGCUCAACGUCUGCACUGCAGCGCGAACUGGUUUCCUUGAGUACGCACAAAGUGGGCGGAAUUCGUGGUGUAGCGGUGAAAUGCUUAGAUAUCACGAAGAACUCCGAUUG